CGGGGUGUAGCGCAGCCUGGUAGCGCACAAGGCUGGGGGUCUUGUGGUCGCUGGUUCAAAUCCAGUCACCCCGACCA
rnacentral:tRNA from 1 species